GGAGGGAAGCUCAUCACCAGCUGAGUGCACCCAUCACUCCAUCCCAUGUCCCUUGGGAAGGUCAGAGACUAGGGGCCAAGAGCAGUGACACAAGUCAGUUCCCAUCUACACAUGGGGACAACAGUAAUCACCCAUAGGAGCACCACUAUCUACUCUAGUACUCAGAAAGAAUUGUCUCUAACUAGAUAGUCUAGUGAAUUUUCUUUCAGAUAAUUUUCUAAGAAAGUUCCUCUCU
rnacentral:lncRNA from 1 species